rnacentral:rRNA from 1 species
GGGCCCGCACAAGCGGUGGAGUAUGUGGUUUAAUUCGAUGCAACGCGAAGAACCUUACCAGGGUUUGACAUCCUGCGAAUCUCUUGGAAACUUGAGAGUGCCUUCGGGAGCGCAGUGACAGGUGGUGCAUGGCUGUCGUCAGCUCGUGUCGUGAGAUGUUGGGUUAAGUCCCGCAACGAGCGCAACCCACGUCUUUAGUUGCCAGCAGUUCGGCUGGGCACUCUAUGGAAACUGCCCGUGAUAAGCGGGAGGAAGGUGUGGAUGACGUCAAGUCCUCAUGGCCUUACGGGUUGGGCUACACACGUGCUACAAUGGUAGUGACAAUGGGU